UCGUUAGCUCAGUUGGUAGAGCAGUUGGCUUUUAACCAAUUGGUCGUAGGUUCGAAUCCCACACGAC
rnacentral:tRNA from 3 species